rnacentral:rRNA from 1 species
ACUGCUCAGUAACACGUGGAUAACCUACCCUACGGAGGAGGAUAAUCCCGGGAAACUGGGGAUAAUACUCCAUAGGUUAUGGAAGCUGGAAUGCUCUAUAAUCGAAAGCUCCGGCGCCGUAGGAUGGGUCUGCGGCCGAUUAGGUUGUUGUUGGGGUAACGGCCCAACAAGCCGAUAAUCGGUACGGGUUGUGGGAGCAAGAGCCCGGAGAUGGAUUCUGAGACAUGAAUCCAGGCCCUACGGGGCGCAGCAGGCGCGAAAACUUUACAAUGCGGGAAACCGUGAUAAGGGAACCCCGAGUGCCUGUAUAAACAGGCUGUUCAGGUGUUUAAGACGCAUCUGGAGAAAGGGCCGGGCAAGACCGGUGCCAGCCGCCGCGGUAAUACCGGCGGCUCGUGUGGUGGCCACUAUUACUGGGCUUAAAGCGUCCGUAGCUGGGUUGUUAAGUCUCUUGGGAAAUCUGACGGCUUAACCGUUAGGCGUCUAAGGGAAACUGGCGAUCUAGGGAUCGGGGGAGGUGAGGGGUACUCCAGGGGUAGGAGUGAAAUCCUGUAAUCCUUGGGGGACCACCUGUGGCGAAGGCGUCUCACCAGAACGACUCCGACAGUGAGGGACGAAAGCUGGGGGAGCAAACCGGAUUAGAUACCCGGGUAGUCCCAGCUGUAAACGAUGCGCGUUAGGUGUAUCGGUGACCACGAGUUACCGAGGUGCCGAAGGGAAACCGUGAAACGUGCCGCCUGGGAAGUACGGUCGCAAGGCUGAAACUUAAAGGAAUUGGCGGGGGAGCAC